GCCGGGAUAGCUCAGUUGGUAGAGC
rnacentral:ncRNA from 12 species